UUCACUGAAGACUGCGUGGGGAGGUCACGGAAGUGUGUACACGGCACAGGACACAGCAUCUCACUGAAAAUCUCCCUCUUACCCCACUUGCCCCGGCUCCUCUCUAUGAUGCAUUCACUACUUCUUUGGAACUGUAAGAGCCAGUCCACCCUCGGCCUCACUCAGGAGGCCCAGAUUCCUCCCCAAAGCAAGCUUAUUGUGAUAUCUUCUCAACAAUGUGGGUGUCUCUGUAAAGAGAUUCAAAAACCAUUUGUGAAGAGGAUAAAGAUCCUUUCAUUAUUUCACAUUUCCAGUGACCUUGAGACUAUGUUAUACACAUUUGCUGGGAUAUAUAAAGGAGUGUGGCAUGACAGGAGUAACCCGUCAGCUGUCACGUGAAGCAGGAUUAGUGAAACUCACACCACACCAAAGAAGGCUUCUGAGAAAGCUACAGCUCCUGACGGUUAAUGGGCUUUCCCAUGGUUAGAAAAACAAGGACAAGUCAACCAUCCUUGCAUUUGCCAAUGCUGAAUACAGUUCCAAGGUGCCCCAUGCUCAAUGAGUACCUGUUGUCAACCGUGAUGCCAGACAAGUGUUUCGACCAAUGUGUGGUGGAAUUUCUUCCCUACCAUCUCCUGUAAGUGAGAAGAAGCACAGCUUUCUCUCCCUAUUCAAGCCUCCUCUGGGUUUGAGGGACAUUUUCACUGGUUCUCCAUCCCCCUCCCACCUUGUAUCCCUGGCAACGCCCAGCCAUUAGCCUAGCUUAAGCAGCUUCUUCUCCGGGAAGCCUUUUCCAGCAACACCUUGGAGAUUAGCCAGCCUCCCAUUGAGCCGCCACUGUACCCAGUGGAACUAUUCCCUCGCCUAAACGUUGGUUCUUUGCUUCUAUGCCCGGAUCUUUCCAGCAGGUGGCUAUGGAACUGGCCUUGCCUGUGAAAUGACAUUGGCUCUGCUUCCUUCAGGCUUGAAGGUGAUUCCAUGAGCUACCAUCAUUUGGUCAUUUGACAAAUGGGAAUUUGAGGUGUCGUGGCAUUUCAAUUUAUAGUAAUAUAUAAUCAUCUAAUUCUCCUGCACCACU